UACGUAGGGGGCAAGCGUUGUCCGGAAUUAUUGGGCGUAAAGCGCGUGUAGGCGGCCAGAUAAGUCCGCUGUGAAAUCUCGAGGCUCAACUUCGAGCUGUCGGUGGAAACUGUCUGGCUAGAGUCCGGAAGAGGAGAAUGGAAUUCCUGGUGUAGCGGUGAAAUGCGCAGAUAUCAGGAAGAACACCCGUGGCGAAGGCGGCAUCCUGGACCGGUAUUGACACUGAAAAGCGAAAGCCAGGGGAGCAAACGGG
rnacentral:rRNA from 1 species